AGAUUUCAUUAUUUAACUUAAAAAUUAAAAUCAAUAUCCAUAGUCGGGACGACACUGGCAACCCGUUUGUCAUAAAAAUGAACUCAAAACCAUUGUUCCGAAUUUUACGACCUGUUGUAUUUGAGACCAUACAGGACUUGUCCACUUAAAAUUGGUAAAAACAGCCUGGUUUAUCAUUUUGUUACAUGUAGAAAAAUGGAAGACUCACCCUAUAUUUAUGCUACUUCUGCAUAAAUAAUGAGGCACUAUGCUCUCACCAAAAAGGAAAUAGAGUAUAGUUGGUUUUAUUUAUGAUAUGGACUUUAUACCUGGUUUUACACAUACGACAUAAUUAUCACAGUAUCAACAAAUAUUAAACAUCACUUUUAUUAAUUUAAUAUAUAGUCUCUGUAGUAUAGAACCACAAACCGAAAAAAUUAUAACCCCAUGCUAUAAUCAGUAAUACAAAUAUCAAACACAAUAAUAAAAUGUUUAAAAAAAAAUAUAAACAAUUAUAAAAAACACAUACCUAGAAGGCCAAACUGCGCGUGCGCGCAUUCAGAGGGAAAUAUCUCUUACCUUUCGCUAAAACUGAAAUUUCAGCCGAUCCGAGGAUUUGAUGGUUAUAAAUUAUGUUCACAUUCGAAUGAAAAUUUGUUGCUAAGUUGUAAAACAUUUAAAUAAUUUAAAACAUCUCCAUUUCUAACUCAUAAAACCGAAAAAUAUUCUAAUAUAAAAAACAUAUUAAAAAUAACCAACAAUUAAGAUAACCUGUGGCGGUUGCCCAAAGCAACGCGUGCGCACUUUUAUGAAGUAAAUCGCCUACCUUUAAGUUCUUCACUAAUAAGACGAUUUGCAAAACUCCUUGUAACAAUUACCAGAAAAAAGCAAAAGUACUUACACACAAUUUCCACUUUUUGAAUAAAAAAAAUUAAGAUUAAAUUACUUAAUCCCGGCACAGGCAAAUGACAAAUAAUAAUUAAGAACUGUCACUUGUCAUUCGAAAUAUCAGCCUGCUUUGCCGUUUGAAGUCACGCGACCCUCUGAGUUAAACUGUGUUAACCAUGACGUGGGAGUAGCGGUAUAGUUAUUAUCCCUCGAUAAACAGAAACACCCCCUGUAAGCACAACCGCUUUUACGGUUAUAGGUUAUGUUCAAGUUUAAAUCACAUUAUGAUAAAUUAAGACUCGCAGGCAGAUAAAGUCAUUUUUUAUGAAUUUUUUGGCACUGAAAUAAAAAAAACAGCAUUUUUUCUAAAAUAAAAAAUCUUUACAGUGUUUUAGAUCCUUUUUUAACCCUUUACCACAUCAUGUGCCAUAUAUGACCCAAACUACAAAAAUAUAAAAAUAUUGUCUAAAAUUAUACUGUAUCAUAUUUGGAACGUACCCGCUUACACAGCAAAAUGUACACAUCGAUAGUAUUGUUCAAUUAUACGACAGAUAUUUCGCGUCAGAGACUAUUGCACGCUAACAGCUGAUUGAUACGUUUUGUUUGCAAGUUUUUUGUUUCUUAAAAUUAUAAUAUUAUCGAAAAAAAAUUAUUGGCAUUACGGGUGAAGUGUAAGCUGUCUUAUACAUUAUGGACACAAAGAAAUUUUAUGGUACUCUACAACAUGUAGCUAAUAUAGACUCCGAUGAAAGUGAUGAUCCAGAUUUAUCUGGCGACGAAGCUGAAAGUUGUGUAAAUUCAAAAAUACAAACCAACCAAAAUGAUCCAGAUUCAGAAUCCGACUAUUCAUCUGAUGACGAUAUGCCCCUAUCAGAAAUUCGAAAACGAAUAUCGAAGAAUAUUGAAUGGCACGAAGGUAAUCUAUUGAAAAACGAUAACGAAAUUCAAUUUAGAGGUUGUCAGGAUCUUCCGGAUUCGAUUCGUACGCUUGCAACUCCAGUAGAAUAGUUCAAAUUCCUUUUCCCAAAAGAGCUCAUAAGUUACAUUACAGAGCAAAGUAAUUUGUGUAAUAUCCAGUGUCAACCACACAAGCCUGUCCAUACAAAAAAUUCAUGAGAUUGAGUUCAUCGGAAUCUGCAUUUUGACUUCUCUAAUACAGUUGCCUUCUACAAGAGAUUAUUGGAAUGGUUUAUUAGGCCAUCCUGCUGUUUCUGAGGUUAUAUGCUGCAAUAGAUUCGAGACGAUAAAACGCUUUAUUCAUUUCAAUGACAAUAGUCAAAUGAUCCAAAGAGGUCAACCAGGUCACGAUAAGUUAUUCAAAACUAGACCUUUUCUUACCCAAAUAAGAGAAAGACUACUAUUGGUACCACGUGAGGAAUACCAAAGCUAGAAGUCAACUAAAGCAAUAUAACCCUAAGAAACCUCACAAGUGGGGUUAUAAGAACUUCAUUCUUAGCGGAAGUUCCGGGUUCAGCUACGAUUUCGACCUUUUUGCAGAAUUCCAAAGCAACCAAGUUCCUAACGGGCGCCCCAAUUUAGGAAUGAGUAGUAAUGUUGUAAUAAGGUUAUCCGAGAGUGUUCCAAGGAAUAACAACUAUAAACUAUUUUUUGAAAAUUGGUUUGCUAGCAUACAUUUGAUGAUUUACUUACAUAAAGAAGGGAUAUUGCCUUUAGGGACAGUGAGAGCCAAUCGUAUACCAUGUACAUUACCAUCUGAAAAAGAUAUGAAGAAAACUGGUCGUGGCACAAUAAAAGAAAAAAUAUCUCGCAUAGAUAAUGUGGAUAUUGCAACAGUGUCAUGGUAUGAUAAUAAAGUCGUGACCACCCUUUCUACCUAU